CUUGGCUGACCUAAGCAGAAGUAUUGGCUUGGGUCUCUGAAAGGAGUUCUUUCUUUGUAAGUGCUGAUGCAGCUUUAUAGCCCGCAGCAAGAAGACAUAGUCAAUAGGCUGGAAAGUAUAGUGUCAUCUGAACCAGAAGUUCCCUUUUUUUUUAAACCUCCCUUGAGAAUGGUGUCCAUGGUCUGUGUCUGACUGCAUUCCCAGGAGACAACACAAGCUCUUUGUACAGCUGCCCCAGAAAAGGAACAGACCCCUUAUGCUGAAAGUCAUCUCCUCCUGCUGCCUUUGGUUGCCCAGCAUGAUCGAUGGCACAUUUGUAUCCUGAAGCAAAGGGCCCUGCCAUUUCUUCUGUGUGAUUGGAGGUGGUGAGGUGGUGAAAGUGCUUUGUCAUCUGAUUACCAAAAAUUCCAAGCCAGCAAACCCAGGGAUCCAAACUAGCUCAAAAGGAACAUAAACCAGGGUCCUGUGGAGAGCUGCUCCUCCUCCAAAGGAUUUAUGUCUUUCUCUACAGAUCAUAAAAUAUUUUAUAUAUACAUAUAUAUAUAAAAUGGAUCAAGAAGAUAACCACAACUAUAAAGAGAACAGAGAACUGCUUUGGGUGCUUGCUUAUCCCACUAAAAUCCUCUCCCUGAACACUGCCUCCAAGCAAUGGCUCUUCAUUAAGUUUGAGGAAGGAGGGACUGGUUGUCUCCAGAGAAGCUUUCUUGCUCUCUAGCUCUGCAAGUCCUCCAGAUCCAGGAGCUUGGGCCAGACUGAGAAUAGGCUGAAGAAAAAUGCUUCCUAUCUGAGCUUCACAGUUACUUCUUCAAGUCAAUGUGAGCCAAAAGUUCCCUGACGCACAAGAAGUGCUCAGGAAACAUAAAUAGCAGAUUGCUCCAGCCAAAACACAAAAUACUGCUUGAACAUUGAUGGAACAUUGUAUCUCAGGUGUGACAGGCGUCCUGAACGUGCGUUAAGAAAGACUUGGAACUUGGCCUUUGUGUGUCUCCAUUUAUGAGCUGCCAAAGCUCAUCUUGACAGGACACCUACAAUGACACAACCAAUUCAAAACCACAGAACCAUUUAGGUCACAAAAGACCUUUAAGAUCAUCAGCUACAACCAUACACCUAACAUUGCCAAGACCAUCAAUGGAAAUGGAUUCCGUUUCAACUAGUUAUUGUUAUUUUUCUGUUUCUAUUUUGAAACCACUUAGGGCUACCCACUGCAGCUGAUGCCUGAUCAUAGCAGAACUACAAGCUCAAGCAAAUUAAUUCAAUCUAUGCAAAGGAGUGCUGCUGCUUUAAGUUGGGGUCUGUCUGCAGUGAGUAACUUAGUGUGCAGUAGCCAGAGUGUGAAUUUGCAACCCACAAAUUCACCUGCACAAGGCUUUUGCAUAGCCAUUGGGAAAGGAGAGUUAGUUACUGUAAUAUAUAUUGUAUACUAAGAACACCCAUAAAAAUAUAGUUCAAAGUAGCUAAUGGACUAUACAUUCACCUCCUGGCUAAGUAUCCACUUAUUUGUUGCAUGUAUUAAUGUACCACCUAAAUUAGAAACCAUAUGAGUUGGUGAACCCCAUGUUUCCUUUUGUGCCACGGCAAAAACAAAACCAGAAGCACUAACAGGUUAAGGUAGCAACAGGAGAGGAGGGACGUGUACUCCAGUAAUCCACACAAGCACCAGCACUCAGUUCCUCUCCCACCCAGCUUCUCCCUCUGCUCUCCCCUGCACCAAAGCUCGGCAUCCUGCCCCAUGGCUCAGCUUGUCCCCAUUCCCUGGUUUGGCCACUCACUUCCCUGCUUCCUCAGGGCUUGCUGCAGCCCAGUGAUGGUCCCAGCCUGGCCCAGCCGAGCAGCCUGUUUCCUGCACGCCUCCUGACUUUCCACUGAACUGCCCUAUCAUCAUCACAGCUAAACAAAUAAAAGAAUUUCCAGUUAA